UCGGGAAUAUUGCACAAUGGAGGAAACCCUGACGCAGCGACGCCGCGUGGGUGAUGAAGGCCUUCGGGUCGUAAAGCCCUGUCGGAGGGGAAGAAAAGUUUGCUGGCUAAUAUCCAGCAGACCUUUGACGGUACCCUCAAAGGAAGCACCGGCUAACUCCGUGCCAGCAGCCGCGGUAAGACGGAGGGUGCAAGCGUUGUUCGGAUUGACUGGGCGUAAAGGGCGUGUAGGCGGUUUGUCAAGUCGGGUGUGAAAGCCUGGGGCUCAGCCCCAGAAGUGCAUCCGAAACUAGCGAGCUAGAGCGCGAUAGAGGAGGGUGGAAUUCCUGGUGUAGCGGUGAAAUGCGUAGAUAUCAGGAGGAACACCGGCGGCGAAGGCGGCCCUCUGGAUCGUUGCUGACGCUGAGACGCGAAAGCGUGGGGAGCAAACAGGAUUAGAUACCCCGGUAGUCC
rnacentral:rRNA from 1 species